CGGGGUAUAGCUCAGAUGGCUAGAGCGCUAUGUUCGGGACGUAGAGGUCGCCCGUUCGAGUCGGGUUACCCCGA
rnacentral:tRNA from 1 species